rnacentral:rRNA from 1 species
AUUGCCCCAGUAACGGCGAGUGAAGCGGCAAAAGCUCAGAUUUGAAAUCUGGUGUCAUCUUGGCAUCCGAGUUGUAAUCUGUAGAGGAGUUUUAGGAGUAUUGCUUUGGUUAAAGUUCCUUGGGAAAGGGCAUCAUAGAGGGUGAGAAUCCUGUUUAUGACCUUUGCACAUCUCUAUUAUAAAUCUCCUUCAAUGAGUCGAGUUGUUUGGGAAUGCAGCUCUAAAUGGGUGGUAAAUUCCAUCUAAAGCUAAAUAUUGGCAAGAGACCGAUAGCGCACAAGUAGAGUGAUCGAAAGAUGAAAAGAACUCUGAACAGAGAGUUAAAGAGUACGUGAAAUUGUUGAAAGGGAAGCACUUGUGACCAGAUGAAAUUGCAAUUGAUCAACCAUCAAUUCUUGGUGGCGCACUCAAUUGCCAGCGGGUUAGCAUCAGUUAUAGCAGCAGGACAAAGCCCAAAAGAAUGUAGCUCCUCUUUGAGGAGUGUUAUAGCUUUUAGUUUAAUACUGCUUGUUACAACUGAGGACAGCACUUGAAGUGAGGAUGCUGACAUAAUGGUUAUAAGUGACCCGUCUUGAAACACGGACCAAGGAGUCUAACAUCUAUGCGAGUAUUUGGGUUCAAGCCCUUAUGCACAAUGAAAGUAAAUGGAGGUGGAAACCAUUUGGUGCACCAUCGACCGAUCCUGAAGUUUUCUGAUGGAUUUGAGUAGGAGCAUAGCUGUUGGGACCCG